AAUAAACUGCCACCGGGUAGUGCAUGCGAGAGCAUCCGUUUACACAUCGUUAGGUCUUGGAAGAUGUGUACGCGGAUGCUUAUUUUUU
rnacentral:ncRNA from 1 species